UACGGAGGAUCCGAGCGUUAUCCGGAUUUAUUGGGUUUAAAGGGUGCGUAGGUGGCCUGUUAAGUCAGGGGUGAAAGACGGUAGCUUAACUAUCGCAGUGCCCUUGAUACUGAUGGGCUUGAAUGAACUAGAGGUAGGCGGAAUGUGACAAGUAGCGGUGAAAUGCAUAGAUAUGUCACAGAACACCAAUUGCGAAGGCAGCUUACUAUGGUUUUAUUGACACUGAGGCACGAAAGCGUGGGGAUCAAACAGG
rnacentral:rRNA from 1 species